GAUGAACGCUGGCGGCGUGCUUAAUACAUGCAAGUCGAACGGAAAGGCCCCGCUUGCGUGGCAUGCUCGAGUGGCGGGCGAACGAGUAACACGCGCGUAACCUGCCCUUGAUUUUCGGAUAACUUCCGGAAAGUGGGGCUAAUACAUGACCCGAGAUCUUGUUGCGUGGUGGCGGUUGGUUAGUUUCGGCGGUUGGGGUUGGACUGGCGGUUGAUCAGCUUGUUUGUGUGGUAGUGGCUUACCAAGGCUUUGACGGGUAGCCGGCCUUAGAGGGGGACCGGCCACAGUGGGACUGAGAUACGGCCCGGACUCCUACGGGAGGCAGCGGUGGGGAAGAUUCCACAAUGGGCGGAAGCCUGGUGCAGCAACGCCGCGUGCGGGAUGGCGACCUUCGGUUUGUAAGCCGCUUACGCCUGUGACGGAGCGUAAGUGACGGUAAUGGAUAAAGAAGCACCGGCUAACUACGUG
rnacentral:rRNA from 1 species